CUUGAGAUCUUAGGACAUUCAGAUAAUAAAGAACAACCUUAAUUUCCCCGUCAAAUAGGCAAAGAUGUCACUGGAAAAGUUUGUUUUUGUAGCAGCAAUUAUGGUGGUUUUCAUGGCUUUAGCUGUGAAAGCACAAGUAGAAGCACCUAUUCCUACACCAGGGGGUCCUAAUUCAGACAACUCUAAUGCAUCACCAAAUGGACUUAUUUCGUUUCAGCAAAUGUUGCUUGGUUUUCUGAGCAUUGGCAUGUCCUUGCUUUUCUUUGUCCUCAAAGACAUAGUUUGAUACGAUCGUCUAAUGUUUCAAGCUUCUAAAGUUAAUGUUGUGGUGACCUGUGGUCCUUGUUUUCAGUUAAAGGUGUGUGUGUGUUUGAGUAUUCUGUGAAUUCAAGUUCAGUCAGUAUUGUCCAAUUUCCAUUGUUAGUGGAAGCCAUCGGCAAUUUGCUUUUAAUAUUAUGUGUAUGCACACGAAUAUAUCUAAACUCUUAUCAACUAGAUAGUGUAGAAUCAACUUUAGGAACCUUGCGAUGUCACUCUCUAGACGUAAUACCGAAAUAACUUCAACCAAGUGUUGUUAUUCGACAUCACUUUGUAUAUAAAUUUAUUAAAAUUAUACACACAUAUAAAUUUU
rnacentral:lncRNA from 1 species